GAAUCUUCCGCAAUGGACGAAAGGCUGACGGACCAACACCGCGUGAGUGAUGAAGGUUUCCGGCUCGUAAAGCACGGGUGCCAGGGAAGAACGAUUUGGAGCGUAACUGCCCUCAACGUGACGGUCCCUGAGAAGCAAGCACAGGCUAACUACGUGCAAGCAGCAGCGGUAAUACGUAGGGGGCAAGCGUUGUCCGGAAUUAUGGGGCGUAAAGCGCGCGCAGGCGAGUCAGUAAGUCUGGUGUUUAAGGCUAGGGCUCAACCCUGGUUCGCACUGGAAACUGUUGAACUUGAGUGCAGAAGAGGAAAGUGGAAUUCCACGUGUAGCGGUGAAAUGCGUAGAGAUGUGGAGGAACACCAGUGGCGAAGGCGACUUUCUGGGCUGUAACUGACGCUGAGGCGCGAAAGCGUGGGGAGCAAACA
rnacentral:rRNA from 1 species